UAUAUAUAUAUAUAUAUCAUGAAAUGGAAAGCAUGCGUAUCUUCAAGUAGCAAAACACAAGUCACAAGUAGCUUUUCAAAAUACAAAAAGUUCAGCGAUAUUUGGAAGUCCCAUGAUCUCAUUUCACAGACAAAGCACCAUUAAAGCAUUAAUGAGCUAGCAUUUCAACUAUAUAAGAGAAAUGAUUUUUUAAAUAAGCAUGAUCUAGUUUGCAAGGGAAACCACUGUACUUUUAUCUCAUCUAAUGAUAUGAUUUUGAAUUCGGAUUCCUUGUUACAGGAAAAUAUUAACAAUAAUAUCACAAUCAAUAAAGCAUUCACAAGAUUUUGCAAGGUGCAAAAAUUGACAAUGGACCCUUCAACCUUUGUUAGUAAAUUCCAAACAUUCUAUAUCUAAAUUAAACUCAUUGAAUAAUUUACUUCUCGAGAAUAUUGCCCACUUGCAGAAAGUUUCAAGCAAGAAGUGGUAUAUUCCUAAAUGUAAUUUAAGCAAUAUGUUGGAAAUAUUCAUCUAGCACAAAACCAACUUUAGUUUCUUCAUAAAAGAAGCUUGUUAUAUCUGCCAUCCGGGUGAUGAACAAUGAAAAAAGGAUUGUCUGUUCCAUGCCAAAAUUGGUGACUCAUACAGAAUAAGUCAUGAUGCAUCAAUACAUAAGAGGCAUUUUUCAGAACUUCAAUAAAAGCACUGCUUUAGAAAACAUUCAUACCACAUAUGCAAUAGAAACGAGGUCAUAUGAUUUGGAGGGCAGGCCUGUUUCCUCCCCAUUAGCAUGUAUCCAGUUAGUCGGAUUCUUUCUUGGGGCUCUCUUCUUUUC
rnacentral:misc_RNA from 1 species